rnacentral:misc_RNA from 1 species
CACAGGAUAUUUAUCACUUCCACCAAUAACAGGUACCAAGUAACUCUGUCCAUCAAGACUCGAACAGAUGGAAAGAAUCACUUGUGUUUUUGUGUCUCCACUCAGUUUUGAACCUAAAACCUUAGGAUUUACAAUCACUUCAUUGACCACUAGACCACGUCUGUUAUUUAGUCUUUUCAUACUAAAUAGCCUACAAAGAUAUUUUUCAUUCUAAUCUACCUAAGUUUUUAUGACAAAUAAGUUACAUAAAAUAGCAAUUGCAAAUGUCAUAUACAUAUAG